rnacentral:lncRNA from 1 species
GGGCCCAUAUCGCACAUAUAAGUGGGUUCAGAGAGAAACUGAGACCCUUCAGUCACUUAAGAAAUUUAGCAUUUAACUACGUCACACGCCUGCGUGACAUUAGACACGGCCGUGUUACCAAAACAGAAUAGGGGGUUAAGUUGUAGGGGACACAUGUCCUGAGAACACACCCGUAUGAUGUGACAGUGUGUCACACACGGCCUAGACACACGCCCGUGUGUCUAUCCAUGUGGACACUUCUAAGCUAUAUGACAAGCCAUUUGCCACCC